AUGGGCCGCAACUCAGCGGAGCACCGCCGUCAGUGCCAUCCGCGGCUGCAUGCCCCCGAGGAUACGGCCUCGCUGCCGAUCCCCGACGAGCUCCUCGCUGAAAUCUUCGUUCGCCUGCCCACCCCAGCCGACCUCGUCCGCGCCUCCGCCGCCUGCGUCUCCUUCCGCCGCGUCGUGGCCGACCGCUACUUCCUCAGGCAGUUCCGCAAGCUCCACGCCCCGCCCCUCCUCGGCUUCCUCGGUCCGCACACCGGCUUCGACCCCGCCGAGCCGCCUCACCCCUCCGCGUCUGCGGCCAGCGCCAUCGCCCUCGCCGCCGACUUCUCCUUCUCGUUCCUUCCGGCCCCCGACCCCGCUCACCACUGGGUUGUCUGGGACGUCCGCGACGGCCGGGUACUCCUCCGCGGAAUGCCCCUGGAACAGAGACGGUGGUGUGCGACCCUUUGCACCGGAGGCGGCGAUGAGGACGAUGAGCCAACAACAACCGCUGAAGAGACGGCAUUCAGGGUGAUCUGGAUGGGGCACUGUGAAGAUAAGCUCAUCACCUAUGUCUUUUCUUCCAGCACCAGACAAUGGCAAGCCAUUCGAUCCCUUACCUGGACCGAUUUGUCAGCUGGCUCGCUAUCAUCGACAGAGACGGCACCCUUCUGCCGGCGCCAAUACGCGUAUGGCUGCUUUUACUGGCUGCCAAAUUCCAAGCACACAAUAAAAAUGUUGGUGCUCAACACCCGUAAGAUGGAGUUCUCCGUUGCUGAACCCCCAACCGAACCCAAAGUUUGUUACAGACAUAUAACCAUGGUGGAGGCAGGAGAAGGCAGGCCUGGGCUGGUUGUCCUUACAUACGGCCCACGUGGCCACAUUUAUACCAUUUGGAGAAACAAUAAUGGGAGUUCCCGCCAAUGGCAAAAGGAUAAGGUAAUCCCACCCUCACCGGGAUCUGGGUACGUGCUCAGACAGUCGAUGGGGACACAUUUGCUUUUGAAUCACUGGGGAUGCUCAUCCUUCGACGAAGAGUUAUGCACGGACUUGCGCACGUUGGACAUGAAGACGUUACAGAUUGAGAGAGUGUGUGCUUCCACAGUGCAAAGCUUCGCAUAUAGCAACCAUCCACCAUCGUUGUCGUCACUGACAAUAUCAAAUGAUCUGAACUUUUGGUGUGCAUAA
rnacentral:rRNA from 1 species